UACGUAGGGUGCAAGCGUUAAUCGGAAUUACUGGGCGUAAAGCGUGCGCAGGCGGUUAUGCAAGACAGAUGUGAAAUCCCCGGGCUUAACCUGGGAAUGGCAUUCGGGACUGCAAGGCUGGAGUGCGGCAGAGGAGACUGGAAUUCCUGGUGUAGCAGUGAAAUGCGUAGAUAUCAGGAGGAACACCGAUGGCGAAGGCAGGUCUCUGGGCUGACACUGACGCUCAUGCACGAAAGCGUGGGGAGCAAACAGG
rnacentral:rRNA from 1 species